GAAGGCCUUAGGGUCGUAAAGCUCUUUCGCCAGGGAUGAUAAUGACAGUACCUGGUAAAGAAACCCCGGCUAACUCCGUGCCAGCAGCCGCGGUAAUACGGAGGGGGUUAGCGUUGUUCGGAAUUACUGGGCGUAAAGCGCGCGUAGGCGGAUCGGAAAGUUGGGGGUGAAAUCCCGGGGCUCAACCCCGGAACUGCCUCCAAAACUAUCGGUCUAGAGUUCGAGAGAGGUGAGUGGAAUUCCGAGUGUAGAGGUGAAAUUCGUAGAUAUUCGGAGGAACACCAGUGGCGAAGGCGGCUCACUGGCUCGAUACUGACGCUGAGGUGCGAAAGUGUGGGGAGCAAACAGGAUUAGAUACCCUGGUAGUCCACACCGUAAACGAUGAAUGCCAGUCGUCGGGUAGCAUGCUAUUCGGUGACACACCUAACGGAUUAAGCAUCCCGCUGGGGA
rnacentral:rRNA from 1 species